rnacentral:rRNA from 1 species
AGAGUUUGAUCCUGGCUCAGAUUGAACGCUGGCGGCAUGCCUUACACAUGCAAGUCGAACGGCAGCACGGAGCUUGCUCUGGUGGCGAGUGGCGAACGGGUGAGUAAUAUAUCGGAACGUACCCUAGAGUGGGGGAUAACGUAGCGAAAGUUACGCUAAUACCGCAUACGAUCUAAGGAUGAAAGUGGGGGAUCGCAAGACCUCAUGCUCGUGGAGCGGCCGAUAUCUGAUUAGCUAGUUGGUAGGGUAAAAGCCUACCAAGGCAUCGAUCAGUAGCUGGUCUGAGAGGACGACCAGCCACACUGGAACUGAGACACGGUCCAGACUCCUACGGGAGGCAGCAGUGGGGAAUUUUGGACAAUGGGCGAAAGCCUGAUCCAGCAAUGCCGCGUGAGUGAAGAAGGCCUUCGGGUUGUAAAGCUCUUUUGUCAGGGAAGAAACGGUAAAAGCUAAUAUCUUUUGCUAAUGACGGUACCUGAAGAAUAAGCACCGGCUAACUACGUGCCAGCAGCCGCGGUAAUACGUAGGGUGCAAGCGUUAAUCGGAAUUACUGGGCGUAAAGCGUGCGCAGGCGGUUUUGUAAGUCUGAUGUGAAAUCCCCGGGCUCAACCUGGGAAUUGCAUUGGAGACUGCAAGGCUAGAAUCUGGCAGAGGGGGGUAGAAUUCCACGUGUAGCAGUGAAAUGCGUAGAUAUGUGGAGGAACACCGAUGGCGAAGGCAGCCCCCUGGGUCAAGAUUGACGCUCAUGCACGAAAGCGUGGGGAGCAAACAGGAUUAGAUACCCUGGUAGUCCACGCCCUAAACGAUGUCUACUAGUUGUCGGGUCUUAAUUGACUUGGUAACGCAGCUAACGCGUGAAGUAGACCACCUGGGGAGUACGGUCGCAAGAUUAAAACUCAAAGGAAUUGACGGGGACCCGCACAAGCGGUGGAUGAUGUGGAUUAAUUCGAUGCAACGCGAAAAACCUUACCUACCCUUGACAUGGCUGGAAUCCUUGAGAGAUCAGGGAGUGCUCGAAAGAGAACCAGUACACAGGUGCUGCAUGGCUGUCGUCAGCUCGUGUCGUGAGAUGUUGGGUUAAGUCCCGCAACGAGCGCAACCC